rnacentral:tRNA from 1 species
GCCUUCGUAGUGUAGUGGUCAGUACGCUGGAUGGGUAUUCGAGAGAUUCGUGGUUCGAGUCUCGGUGAAGGCA